rnacentral:misc_RNA from 1 species
GUCUAAUAGGGAUUUUUUUUCAUAAAGGAAAACUACUUAAUUUAUCAGUAUCGAAUUAAAUUCCUCUAGGAAUUACUUUUAAACCUUUGGGAAAUGAAAUUCCUAUAUGAUUAUUAAAAAAGGGAUUUUCUAUUUAUCAUUUAGGAAUAAAUCAAAUAUUUCUCUACCGGAACUAUUAUAAUCUUUCAAUGGUAUACCAUUAGGAAUACAAAUGAAUUGAUGAGGUGCAAAAAUGGCAUUUUGGUACUUUGAUAAUUUUUUUGACUGUUGCUUAUAGUUUAGCAAUGUGUCCCAUAGGUCUCUGUUUUUAAGACUCUUUUUCAAAAAUUGAUUCAAUGUUUAUGCAUGAUAUCCACCUGCAAUAUGUGUUCACUAUAUUUAAUACUCUCUUUUUUUUUUUUAUAAAAAAUCUCAAUCUACGUUUAUAUGCCUGAAAAUCUUUUUUCAAAAUUGCUUAUUUUUUAUCAAAGUAUUUUAAUUUAAUUUAGAUUUAAAGGCGUAUUGAACAAAAAUGAUGCUUUUUUUGUUUUUAUAUGUACUGGUGUGAUAAAUAAAUGGUAAUUUGAACUGUGAUAAAUAAAUGGUAACUUG